rnacentral:rRNA from 1 species
UACAGAGGAGCCAAGCGUUGUCCGGAUUGACUGGGCGUAAAGCGCACGCAGGCGGUCGAGCGCGUGGGGUGUGAAAUCUGGCCGCUUAACGGCCAGGCGCCAUCCCAUACGGCACGACUGGAGGGCUGCAGAGGUCGAUGGAAUUGCCGGUGUAGUGGUGAAAUGCGUAGAGAUCGGCAGGAACACCCAGGGGGAAACCAGUCGACUGGGCAGCACCUGACGCUGAGGUGCGAGAGCGUGGGGAGCGAACCGG